GCACUUCCAUAGCUCAGUGGUAGAGCAUAUGCUUUGCAUGUAAAAUAUCCCAGGUUCAACUCCUGACAUGUCCA